CUCGAGCUGACUUAUCGUGACGUCACCCACUGUAUCUGACUGUAUGCAGCCCUUCAUGGAGCGCGUGGCUGCGAGCACAUGGAAAGGAGGUCGAGAUUUGUGCUUGAAAGACACGCACCUAUUCAUCCGAAAUGGAAUAUAAAUAAUAAUGCGCAAAAUAGAAAUAGAAUCAGAGAACGGGAAGACUGUUGAGACUGCUCUGCUCUACUCAGCUGUCAAUCAACGAGGAUCAGCAGAUUUAUAAUGAAAAUCAAGACACCUGGAUGGAAGUUAUGAAAAGUCCUCCCGGUUCUGACCCCUGCCUGACUCUGGACUACUUUCCUGCCUGCCUGAUCAUCC